rnacentral:rRNA from 1 species
UACGGGGGGAGCAAGCGUUGUUCGGAUUUACUGGGCGUAAAGGGCGCGUAGGCGGCCACUGCAAGUCAGUUGUGAAAUCUCCGGGCUUAACCCGGAAAGGUCAACUGAUACUGCAGGGCUAGAGUGCAGAAGGGGCAACUGGAAUUCUCGGUGUAGCGGUGAAAUGCGCAGAUAUCAGGAGGAACACCAGCGGCGAAGGCGGCGCUCUGGGCCGGUACUGACACUGAGGAGCGAAAGCGUGGGUAGCAAACAGG